rnacentral:rRNA from 1 species
UUUAUUACUGAGUUUGAUGAUGGCUCUGAUUGAACGCUGUCCAAAGGCUUGACACAUGCUAAUCAUACAUAAUUUUACAGAAAGGUUUAUGUAAAAAUUUUCCUCUUCUAAAAAAAUUAGGUGGUGUAAAGGUGAGUAUAAUAAACUUUGUUUCGCCUUAAAGUAAGGAAAAAAUUCCUUAUAAUUCAUAAAGAAAAACUAAUAGGUUUUUUCGCUUUAAGAUUUUUAAGUAUUUUUCAAGUAAGUAGUAGUUAAGGUAAUUGCUUAACUAGCUGUGACUUGUAGUCAAGACUGAGAGGUUUAUUGACCACAUUGGGUCUGAAAAAACCCCAAUACGUAUAGUACAGCAGUGAGGAAUCUUGGUCAAUAGCCCAACGGCUGAACCAGCAAUUUGGGGGAAUGGAGGUAUAUAUCUAAUGAUGCAUAUAUACAAAUCGACUACGUCGUAUAAAGUUCUAAAUAGAUAAUUGAUUAUGACAGAUUUCUAUUUAUGUGUCUCGACCAAUUCUUGUGCCAGCAGUCGCGGCAACACAAGUGAGACUAGUGUUAUUCAUCUUUAUUAGGUUUAAAGGGUACCUAGACGGUUUUUUUAGCCUGAAAAAUGUACAAAAAAACUAGAGUUUUAUAUGAGAGGUAAAUAUUAGGACUAUUGGUGUAGAGAUGAAAUUUUUUGAUACUAAUUGGAUGUAUAAUGGCGAAGGCGAUCCUCUAUUUAUAAACUGACGUUAAGGGACGAAGGCUUGGGGAGCGAAUAGGAUUAGAUACCCUAGUAGUCCAGGCAGAAAAUUAUGAAUGUUAUAGACUAAGUAUAUAAUUAGUGUAUAAAUGAAAGUGUAAGCAUUCCACCUCAAGAGUAAUGUGGCAACGCAGGAACUGAAAUCAUUAGACCGUUUGUGAAACCAGUAGUGAAGUAUGUUAUUUAAUUCGAUAACCCUCGAAAAACCUUACCACAAUUUGAAUAAAACAUGUCAAGAUAGACGGAUUUACCGUAAGGAGCAUGGAUUAAACAACUUAUAUUAUUAAUAGGUUGUUUUUUCAUACAAGCGUUGCACGGCUGUCUUCAGUUAAUGUCGUGAGACUUUGGUUAGAUUCAUUAAAUUAACGUAAACCCUUGCUUCAUGACAUAUUGAGCUAUAAGCUAAUGAAUUUAAAUAAGCCCUUAUUUCAUUAGUUAUGUAUAAGAUGUAAUAUUAUAAUUAGGACAACUUUAAAAAAGGUGGUAGAUUAAAUUCGAUAUUUUUUUUUAAUAGUCUUAAUUAUGAAAGGUGGAGUAGUUAGCCGCUAUAUUGGUUUUCAUAACAGGGAUCAAGACAAGUCAUCAUGACCUUAAUAUUGUGGGCUAUAGACGUGCCACAUAUAUCUGGACAAAGAGAGACAAAAAUGCGAAAAUUAGGUAAUCUCUAAAACAGAAUAUAAAAUGGAUUGUAGUCUGUAACUCGACUGCAUUAAACAGGAAUUACUAGUAAUCGUGUAUCACUAUAUCACGGUGGAUUUAAUCUCACAUAGGUACUAACCACUCGUCAGGCGCUGAAAGGGGUAUGUGCAAUAAGUUUGGUUUUCUAUUAAAGUGUAAAUAGGUACAGCUUUAUCUACUUAUAAUGUUGUCAAUAAACUAAAAAGAUGAGCCAGUAUUAUAAGUAGGUAGUAACGCUUUUUUGGAAAAUUUUCGUAUGCGUGACCUUAAUUGG